rnacentral:lncRNA from 1 species
AGUGCGUAGCGACGAUUCUGGGAGAGGAGGUGCUCGGAGGAAAGGGCGGGGGUUGCUGAUGUAAUGGGGAGAAGUGAUUAAUCCUUCGGUUCGCCGUUUCAGCUUCCCCCCUACCCCAACCUUCACCCGAUUUUUUUGAGCUGAAAAAAAAGUGGAACGAGGGAGCCAAUCUUUGGUAACUCGGGUUUUCUGUGGUAGGUCCCACAAACUGCAAGGAAAAGAAAAACCCUCAACAGGAAUUACCUUUAUACCUGAUGCCCCCAACAUAAUCUCUCUCCAAGGGAAACGUGUUUUUAUUGCCUUGCGGCUGAAAAUGUAUUCUCGAUUCUCCCCC